AACGAACGCUGGCGGCGUGGAUAAGACAUGCAAGUCGAGCGAGAUUUCCUUUGGUAGCAAUACUGAAGGAAGUCUAGCGGCGAACGGGUGCUUAACACGUGGGCAACCUGCCGAGAAGUGGGGGAUAGCUCGCCGAAAGGCGAAUUAAUACCGCAUGUGAUUAGAGAGGACAUCCUUUCGAAAUUAAAGUCGGGGCAACCUGACGCUUUUUGUGGGGCCCGCGGCCUAUCAGCUAGUUGGUGAGGUAACGGCUCACCAAGGCUUUGACGGGUAGCUGGUCUGAGAGGACGACCAGCCACACUGGGACUGAGACACGGCCCAGACACCUACGGGUGGCAGCAGUCGAGAAUUUUUCUCAAUGGGGGAAACCCUGAAGGAGCGACGCCGCAUGGAGGAUGAAGGUCUUCGGAUUGUAAACUCCUGUCAUUGGGGAACAAGUCGCUUACGUUAACUGCGUGAGCGUUGAUAGUACCCGAAGAGGAAGAGACGGCUAACUCUGUGCCAGCAGCCGCGGUAAUACAGAGGUCUCAAGCGUUGUUCGGAUUCAUUGGGCGUAAAGGGUGCGUAGGCGGC
rnacentral:rRNA from 1 species